GUGGUGGCUCAGUGGUAGAGUGCACGCCUAGCCCGUGUGAGGCCCUGGGUUCCAUCCUCAGCACCACA
rnacentral:tRNA from 1 species